rnacentral:rRNA from 1 species
CAAUAGCGUAUAUUAAAGUUGUUGCAGUUAAAAAGCUCGUAGCUGGAUUUCGGGAUGGCCCGGCCGGUCUGCCGCAAGGUAUGUUACUGGCCGAGCUGUUCUUCUUCGCAAAGACUGUGUGUGCUCUUAACUGAGUGUGCUCAGGAUCUGUGACGUUUACUUUGAAAAAAUUAGAGUGUUCAAAGCAAGCCAGCGCUUGAAUACAUAAGCAUGGAAUAAUGGAAUAGGACUUUGGUUCUAUUUUGUUGGUUUCUGGAACCUUAGUAAUGAUUAAGAGAGACAGUUGGGGGCAUUCGUAUUUCGUUGUCAGAGGUGAAAUUCUUGGAUUUACGAAAGACGAACUACUGCGAAAGCAUUUGCCAAGAAUGUUUUCAUUAA